GGUAAAAUGGCCGAGGACAAGCAUUGAACUGUAAAUUCAGAGACAGAGACUAGAUAUCUCUUUUUACCA
rfam:Sarcophilus harrisii ctg7180002481228, whole genome shotgun sequence.